rnacentral:lncRNA from 1 species
AUGGGGUACCCCGCGUUUGGGGAGGGCAGAAUGCCUGUCAGAGGGUCUGACAUCCUGCUGGAUGGACAUCCUGCUGCUCUGACAUGCAGCUGGGGGAUGCAGGAGCAGAGCAUCCCGCUGCAGCGGGACACCACGGGCUGGGAGUGCAGGAGAACGCGAGCACUGCAGCAUCCCGGUGCCCAGGAGAUGUGCUGGGGCAUCCCGGUGCCCGGGGGAUGUGCUGGGGCAUCCCGGUGCCCGGGGGAUGUGCUGGGGCAUCCCGGUGCCCGGGGGAUGUGCUGGGGCAUCCCGGUGCCCGGGGGCAGCCCAUGCUCAGGGGAGACGAGAAGCGCAGCCGCGGGGGAUACACUCCCCAGUCUCCGCCAGCUGCCUGUCCCGGUGCCCCUCGUUCCCCGGUGCCCCCCGUUCCCCGGUGCCCCCCGUUCCCCGGNCCCCCUUUCAGACCCGUCCCGUCCCUUCCCCCGUGUUUCCCGUUCGUGCCCCGCGGCCCCGGGGCUGCGCUCACCCCCCCGGGGGAUCCCAUUGCGCGGUGCACAGCCGGUGUGUCCCCCUCCCGCGGGGCCGUGUCAUCCCCGCGCCUCACCGAGGGUUCCCGGGGCGGGGGGGGGUCUCCUCUGCCGAUGUUUCACGGUGUCACCUUUCUCCGGGAGUGUCCCCUGUCCCUUUUGCCGGUGCUUGGGGGUGUCACCUCCCUUUGGGAUGUCCCGUGUUCCGUUGUUUAGGGGUGUCCCCGUGCUUGGGGGUGUCCCCUGUGCCGGUGUUCACCCCUCCGGGGGUGUCCCCUGCCCCGAGGGAGCCGCAGUGGCUGCCGAAGCCUGUGGGUACACACGCAAACCUGGAGUUCCAAGGGGCGUGUGGGGGAAGUUGUGUUGUUUCCUGCAUCCCAACGGGAUACCUGCUGCCUCCAGUGCCGGCUUAUGGGAGAAAAUACAGGGAUUCCCACUAGCUGUGAAGCAAAGCUUGCUGUCCCUUUGUUGUUGUUUGUUUUUUUUCUUACAACAGCCCCUUCUGCAUAUUCCUUAG